GGUGAGUAAUGUCUGGGAAACUGCCUGAUGGAGGGGGAUAACUACUGGAAACGGUAGCUAAUACCGCAUGACCUCGAAAGAGCAAAGUGGGGGACCUUCGGGCCUCACGCCAUCGGAUGUGCCCAGAUGGGAUUAGCUAGUAGGUGAGGUAAUGGCUCACCUAGGCGACGAUCCCUAGCUGGUCUGAGAGGAUGACCAGCCACACUGGAACUGAGACACGGUCCAGACUCCUACGGGAGGCAGCAGUGGGGAAUAUUGCACAAUGGGCGCAAGCCUGAUGCAGCCAUGCCGCGUGUGUGAAGAAGGCCUUCGGGUUGUAAAGCACUUUCAGCGAGGAGGAAGGCGUUAAGGUUAAUAACCUUGGCGAUUGACGUUACUCGCAGAAGAAGCACCGGCUAACUCCGUGCCAGCAGCCGCGGUAAUACGGAGGGUGCAAGCGUUAAUCGGAAUUACUGGGCGUAAAGCGCACGCAGGCGGUUUGUUAAGUCAGAUGUGAAAUCCCCGAGCUUAACUUGGGAACUGCAUUUGAAACUGGCAAGCUAGAGUCUUGUAGAGGGGGGUAGAAUUCCAGGUGUAGCGGUGAAAUGCGUAGAGAUCUGGAGGAGUACCGGUGGGCGAAUGCGGCCCCCUGGGACACAGACUGACGCUCAGGUGCGAAAGCGUGGGGAGCAAACGGGAUUCACAUACCCCUGGUAGUCCACGCUGUAAACGAUG
rnacentral:rRNA from 2 species